UAAGGCCUCCAUCUUGGAGGAUGGGGGCGAACCGGGGACCGAGACAGUGUGGACACCCGAGUUUUUCUAAAGUUAGCGAGAACGCUACGGCCACACCGGAAGCUGGGCGCGAGACUGUCCUCCAAAAUAAGAGGAGAGUCAAAAGUCUUGCGCUCUCAAAAAGCAUUAGCCUUGUACUUCCUGCUCCGUGUGGCCUGCUAGGUUUCUUCGAGUGUAAACGCUUUAAAAGUGGCACACCAACUAACUGGGUCAUGUUUGUGAGUGGAGGACCAAACGGGGCCCAGCGCGUCUCGUACACGCGGUUCAGGAGGCGGAUCAUCCGGAAGAGUGGCAGCGAGGAUCCAGCUGCAAGUACGCCACUGGCCACUUGGCGGCAGCGUGAGCCAAGCUUUGAGCUUGACGCGGUGCGCCAGAGGCUGCAGCUGGAUUCUCCACCGAGACACGGUGAACCAGCACGGAGAGGCCCGCGCCAAGAGACGGCAAACGUAUCACGCUCCUUCACUGCCGGGAGACGGUCCGCCACGGAAAAAAAACCACAACAGGGAUGGGUGUGGAGAGCUGCAGUUCCAGAACAUGGAGGUCGACGACCGGACGGUUCUGAUGAGAGAAGACGUGCUGUGCAGCCGUUUGCUCUCUUGGACAAAACUAGCAUGAGUCAGCGGGGAGAGUCAGUGAUGAAUUUGGCGGCACCGUCACUCCUCAACGACUACUACACUAAUCUGCUCGACUGCAGUUGCAACGGCGUGAUUGCAUUGGCACUGGGCUCUUCCGUCCACCUUUGGAAUUCAGAAACCCGCGCCCUGGUGGGGUCUUUGGACACGAGUCCGCAACCGGGACGGGCACGCCAUCGGAUGCCCACCGUCUCCUGCCUGAGCUGGAGCAGGGACGGCAGCGCUCUCUGCGUCGGGACCCGGGGAGGGGAGAUACAGCUGUGGGAUGUUGAACACAAGCGGAACAUGAGCUGUCUGCCGUCACACCUGUCUGUGGUCAGAGGGCUUUCCUGGAAACAGCAGUUACUCAGCAGCGGCUCUGCUCUCGGACGCAUCCAUCACAUUGACCCUCGGGCUCCUACGCCCCUGGUGGGUGCUGCCGUACAGGAGGACGGGGUCUGCGGCCUCCAGUGGUCGCCGGGAGGUGACUGGCUGGCCAGCGGCUCCACAGAGGGCCUGCUCCGUAUUUGGGGCGGUGGCAUCGCCGGGGUCAUGCGGUCACGUCAGCCAAUCGCCACGAUGAGACAGCCCAGCGCUGUUAAAGCAAUGGGUUGGUGUCCAUGGCAGAGAAAGAUAAUCGCCACUGGAGGCGGAUGGAACGAUGGAGAGCUGAGAGUCUGGGACACAGAUUUGGGGACUUGCGUGACUUCUGCCAAAACCAAUUCUCAGAUCUGUUCUCUGCGCUGGGCCGAGAAGAAGAAAUGUCUGGUCACAGGUCACGGUCUUCCUCAUCACCAGGUCAACUGCUGGUCUUGGGAGUUCCCCUCCCUCAGUCCCGUCUGCCAGCUGUCAGGUCAGAGGGCCUGAAGCCUGAUGCGUGCACAGCGACAUCCCUCAACACAUUCACGACAGCCUCACGUAGGAAUAAAUGUCAUUCUCAUCGAGUCCUGCACUUGGCCGUAAACCCCGACGGCACUCAGAUUUUCUCUGCUGGGGCGGACCAGCGGUUUCACAUCUGGGACACGUAAUUACGCAACAUCACUGAACAUGGAAGGUGAAUGUGGGUUACCUGUGAGAAGCUAACACUUCUUGGUCAUGUCAUUGUGUUCCUGUCCCCUGCUCUGAGCUCACCACCAUGAGAAGCUAACAAACCAGUCAAACUUAUUGUCAUGCCAAGAUGGUUAAUUUCAGGGCUAAAUGUCACAUUCAAAAGUUGCUCAGAUUUACACAGUACAUUCCUUUUAUUUCGUUUUUUAGCUACGGAUAAGUUUAAGUUGUUGGUUUUUGGUGACUGAAAUAUGCAUAACAGCCCCUUAAUGUGAGGAAAGUACAUGAAAUACUCAGACUGGCAGAGUGGCUUGGACUGUCUGCAGAAUAGUAAUAAUGAUAAUAAUUCUAACAAUGAUUUUAUUUCUAUACCAAGAAGCAGAAAGUGCUUUCCUGUGCACGGAGACAGCAUAAAAACACAAUCACGCCUUUAAAAUCAACAGCAUUAGGCAGCUCCAUAUAAAACAAUCUGAAAACGAUGUAAACAAAUAUGUCUGGUCAGACAAGAAGGCGUAAUCCACCACAAAUGUGUUUUUAAGGUUUUCAGAGCCAGAAGAAGCUCGGAUAACAACACACAGAGGGAGAGCGACUUCCUUCUCUGCUCGGUGAGACAUUACCCAACUAUAUCUUUACAGAGCAACUCAUUGUUUGCCGCAAUAUGGAUACUCUGAAUCCUGUAUAUUGCACUGUAACAGGUUCGAGUCUCGGGCAGGCACCAAAGAGGCAACACACACACAAUUGUGAGGGCAGUAACCGUUUUUAUUUAUUUGUCACGCUUCUGGUAGCGACC